CCCAGACAGCCAGGAUGUUGGCUUAGAAGCAGCCAUCAUUUAAAGAAAGCGUAAUAGCUCACUGGUCGAGUCGGCCUGCGCGGAAGAUGUAACGGGGCUAAACCAUGCACCGAAGCUGCGGCAGCGACGCUUAUGCGUUGUUGGGUAGGGGAGCGUUCUGUAAGCCUGCGAAGGUGUGCUGUGAGGCAUGCUGGAGGUAUCAGAAGUGCGAAUGCUGACAUAAGUAACGAUAAAGCGGGUGAAAAGCCCGCUCGC
rnacentral:rRNA from 1 species